GAUGAACGCUGGCGGCGCGCCUAACACAUGCAAGUCGAACGAUUAAAGCACCUUCGGGUGUGUAUAAAGUGGCGAACGGCUGAGUAACACGUGGGCAACCUGCCCCUCUCAUUGGGAUAGCCACGGGAAACCGUGGAUAAUACCGAAUACUUCGGGACUUCCGCAUGGAAGACUCGAGAAAGCUCCGGCGGAGAGGGAUGGGCCCGCGGCCUGUUAGCUUGUUGGUGGGGUAAUGGCCUACCAAGGCAAUGAUGGGUAGCUGGGUUGAGAGACCGACCAGCCAGAUUGGGACUGAGACACGGCCCAGACUCCUACGGGAGGCAGCAGUGGGGAAUCUUGCACAAUGGGCGAAAGCCUGAUGCAGCGACGCCGCGUGCGGGAUGAAGGCCUUCGGGUUGUAAACCGCUUUCAGCAGGGACGAGGCGAAAGUGACGGUACCUGCAGAAGAAGCCCAGGCUAACUACGUG
rnacentral:rRNA from 1 species